rnacentral:rRNA from 1 species
CCUACGGGAGGCAGCAGUGAGGAAUAUUGGUCAAUGGACGCAAGUCUGAACCAGCCAUGCCGCGUGCAGGAAGACGGCCCUAUGAGUUGUAAACUGCUUUUGUACGAGGGUAAACGCAGAUACGUGUAGCUGUCUGAAAGUAACGUACGAAUAAGGAACGGCUAAAUCCGUGCCAGGAGCCGAGGUAAAACGGAGGUUUUAAGCGUUAUCCGGAUUUAUUGGGUUUAAAGGGUGCGUAGGCGGUCGGAUAAGUUAGGUGUGAAAUCCCGGGGCUCAACCUCGGAAUUGCCUUUGAUACUGGUGGGCUAGAGUGGAGGUGAGGUAGGCGGAAUGUGUGGUGUAGCGGUGAAAUGCUUAGAUAUGACGAAGAACCCCGAUUGCGAAGGCAGCAUGCUGGAGCGGAACUGACGCUGAUGCUCGAAAGCGCGGGGAUCGAACAGGAUUAGAUACCCCUGUAGUC